rnacentral:rRNA from 1 species
UUAAUGAGAGUUUGAUCCUGGCUCAGGACGAACGCUGGCGGCGUGCCUAAUACAUGCAAGUAGAACGCUGAGGUUUGGUGUUUACACUAGACUGAUGAGUUGCGAACGGGUGAGUAACGCGUAGGUAACCUGCCUCAUAGCGGGGGAUAACUAUUGGAAACGAUAGCUAAUACCGCAUAAGAGUAAUUAACACAUGUUAGUUAUUUAAAAGGAGCAAUUGCUUCACUGUGAGAUGGACCUGCGUUGUAUUAGCUAGUUGGUGAGGUAAAGGCUCACCAAGCCGACGAUACAUAGCCGACCUGAGAGGGUGAUCGGCCACACUGGGACUGAGACACGGCCCAGACUCCUACGGGAGGCAGCAGUAGGGAAUCUUCGGCAAUGGACGGAAGUCUGACCGAGCAACGCCGCGUGAGUGAAGAAGGUUUUCGGAUCGUAAAGCUCUGUUGUUAGAGAAGAACGUUGGUAGGAGUGGAAAAUCUACCAAGUGACGGUAACUAACCAGAAAGGGACGGCUAACUACGUGCCAGCAGCCGCGGUAAUACGUAGGUCCCGAGCGUUGUCCGGAUUUAUUGGGCGUAAAGCGAGCGCAGGCGGUUCUUUAAGUCUGAAGUUAAAGGCAGUGGCUUAACCAUUGUACGCUUUGGAAACUGGAGGACUUGAGUGCAGAAGGGGAGAGUGGAA